rnacentral:lncRNA from 1 species
AUAAAACAUUCAGAUCUAUCAAAUAACAAAAUAAAUCAACUGCCAGCCGAACAAUAGAAUUACUAGAAACAUAACUUUGUUCAUAGAUAAUGUAACCAGAUAUUACAUGCGUCUAGACCAUAAGAACAACACUAAACAGAACCGACCAACGUAACCACAAAAGCAUCAUAAACUAAAGACUACAGUUACUACCUACUACUCAUUUCCC